rnacentral:rRNA from 1 species
ACUCUGAGAGAGAGUUAAAGGAGGACGUGAAACCGCUGGGAUGGAAACGAAUAGAGUUGACGAAACCAACCGUCAUUCAACCGAUCAGCUUAGCGGUCUCAUUACUAAUGUACCACCAGAUAAAUGUCUUGUACAUUUUAUCGAUGGACAAUAGUAAGAGGUGCUGUUGAGUAGUUUUAAAUAAUACCUAUGUGAUCGGUGCAUUUGAUGGUGGUACGCGCCGAGAGCCGCGUUAUUUGUAUGACAAAACAUUUGGUAGUGGACCGAAUAAUUUUUUAUUCGGAAACCUACCAAUAGUGGAGGCAUAUCAUUAAUGCGGUUGCAAUUGCAAUUUUCGCCGUAUGGUGCGUUACAUAUGUGCUCAAUUUAUACUUACAUAAUAUGAUCGCUUGCGUAUCGUUUAUGUUUUCUAGUAUUGAAUUGUGUGAUAUGUAUUUGACGCGUUAAAAUUGCAUCUCGGUGUGAGCGUCGAUCACCUAUUCGACCCGUCUUGAAACA